rnacentral:rRNA from 1 species
GCCAGACUCCUACGGGAGGCAGCAGUGAGGAAUAUUGGUCAAUGGGCUUACGCCUGAACCAGCCAAGUCGCGUGAGGGAAGACUGCCCUAUGGGUUGUAAACCUCUUUUGUCAGGGAGCAACGCCGGCUACGUGUAGCCGGACUGAGAGUACCUGAAGAAAAAGCAUCGGCUAACUCCGUGCCAGCAGCCGCGGUAAUACGGAGGAUGCGAGCGUUAUCCGGAUUUAUUGGGUUUAAAGGGUGCGUAGGCGGAAUAUCAAGUCAGCGGUAAAAAGUCGGGGCUCAACCCCGUCGUGCCGUUGAAACUGAUGUUCUUGAGUGGGCGAGAAGUAUGCGGAAUGCGUGGUGUAGCGGUGAAAUGCAUAGAUAUCACGCAGAACUCCGAUUGCGAAGGCAGCGUACCGGCGCCCAACUGACGCUGAAGCACGAAGGCGUGGGGAUCGAACAGGAUUAGAUACCCGCGUAAAC